UCCCUGGCAGUCCAGUGGAUAGGACUCGGCACUAUCACUGCCGGGACCCGGGUUCAAUCCCUGGUCAGGGAA